CGAUGUGCUGUUGGAUGACACUCGCGUCGGUGCUUUCAGACGCAAUCAGAAAGUAUAGGAGGUUAGAUCGUAUAAUUCGCGUUAACGACCAAGUAUCCACCUCCAAUAUCUUCUUGCGUUUAAUAAAUUCUACGGUAAUAAAUCCGUAAGUGUAACUUAACAAAUAAAAAAAAAAUGACUAAAAAUUCGUGACAUUUUAAGAGAUUGGCACAAACGAUGCAUUGCUUCGUUUUCGCCACGUGAAUACUGCCGUCCGUCUUAUCGUUUAUAUACCGGUAAUAAUUUACUCCAUUCGUUCAUUUUGUUUUAUUUUAUUUCAUUUCAACUUUUGGAAAUUAGUUUGAAUUCGAAGAAACAAAAUAUUUAGGUAGACAAAAAAAUUUACCAUAUUAUGUAUUAUGUGCUUAUUUUAAAUAUCUUAAAGAGAUUUAUCAAAUAUAAGUUUUAAAGAUCUUGCUAUUGAAGAUUUCAAAAACUAAACGAAAAACGUGACAAAAAGUAUAUGUAGAAGAUUGUGCGCGUUCAUAAAAAAAAGGAACGUGUGUGCAUAAAGGCUCGUCAUUCCCAACAAGAAGAAAAUCUUUCUGUUUUAUUCCACUUUUUGGUGGAACGGUUCUGCAGUUCAAAAAAAAGAUAUCUAAAUGUGUUCCAUAGCGAUACCAGCUGAAUUGCUUCUGGGGCACAGUCCUCCAGUGUAUAGCUCGCUGUUAUACAGUCCUUUGGUGGUAACGGCACCAACAAUUACUAGCAGGUCGGUACCACCCAGAAUAAGGCCAUGCCUGUCAUCUGGUUCCUUGGCUAUAAACAACAUUCGAAACAGUAAUGAUGGUAGUAGUAAUAAACAGAAGAAAAGAGUGGUGUUUGCUGAUGAUCGUGGCCGUCCUCUUACUCAGGUACGCGUGAUGUCGGAACCUAGUAAUGUACCACCUUUGUGGAGCACAGCUUACUUGGCUGGAUUAACAGGGCGACUUUUAAAUUCGAAAAUUGAGAAUGAUCAAUCUAUAGAACUCGUAUCACCUUGGCAAGUAACUUUCCCUCAACCGGCGAGCGAUUAUUUAGCCUUCCGUCAGAAACUUGAUCAGGAGAAUGUCAGCUUGGAAAAUGUGAUAGUGAAAGAGUCGGAACAAUGUCUAGUAGGUACUAUCAAGGUACGUAAUCUGGCGUAUGACAAGGAAGUCGUGGUCAGGGUGAGCAACGAUUCUUGGAAGACACACGAGGACGUUCAUUGCACUUAUGUUGAACAACCGGGUUCUCCGGCCCUGAUUCUUUACGAUACCUUCCGCUUUCGAUUAACUCUACCAUUGAAAUCAAAUGUGAUAGAAUUCUGUGUACGAUAUCGAACCGAUGGAAAAGAAUAUUGGGACAACAACGAGGGAAAGAAUUUUAUCGUUCGAAAAAAGUUAGAGCCACGAGCACCACCCAAACGAUACGAUAUUCUGACAACGUGCGAUGGCUUUUCGAAGAAUAAUAAUCGAGAUAAUAUACCACGAAUCACAGAUGCAACCAAAGCGAACGUACGCACGUGGAGCGAGUUCGCAUCUUGGCAGCAUCUUGCGAAUGAUGCUCCAUACUGGUGAAUCUUCGUCACUGGUCACAAACGAUGUACGAAUGUCGUACGAAUUCUUCCAAUCUAUUUGAUUUAACGAUCACAAGAUGUAGACUAUGCGGGACGAGGUGGUAAUAUAUCUACGCAACGGCAUGCAUAAGAUUGUCGUACGUGUAAUAUUUACACGAUAGCGUGUAAAUGUAUGGACAUCAAGAUCAAGGGAACCCAGAAGAGAGCAAUGACAAAAGAAGGGAAGCGAUGGACUAAGUGAUUAAGUUCAAAUUAUAAAAGGACGUGCUUGAACGGAAGAAAGAGAGAUAUAGCCAAAAGUCAAUAGUACGGAACAGGCGAGAAAGGAGGCCCUAGUCGCGUUACAUUUAUGAUUGCAACGUGCAGAACAGACAUAUACAAUGUAUAGGAACACACAAUAACCGUGUAAGAGAGACAAUAUGCAUACAAAUAUACUAAAGAUCAUGGAUCUGGAUUGGAUGGAUGUUUGUUCUGAAGCUUCUCCAGACUUUCUACCAAUUUGGUCAUCAUACAUCUUCUCGUUCAUCGUCUUCCUUCUUUCCUCUUCCUCUUUUCUGAAACUUGGCUAUCAAUAGCUGAAGAUGUCCAUUAAGAUAAAUUUCCACCUUCGAAUUGACCAAAUCUCGCUGGUCUUGUCCGUUCCUCUUUUUCUUUCUUAAUAUUAUCUUCUUUUUCGCAUAUCCUUACUUCUUCUCUAUUUCUCUGUACUCUUUUUUUUUGUUUCUUUUCAACGUACAAACUUGUGCAAUUGUGUUAAUAGGAUUUUUUUUAAUGGGAUGGGCCAAGGGAUCUUAAAUAAGUAACGCAGAUUAAAACAAAGCUCAGAAAAUAAUCAAUUAUAUGAAAUAAAAGACAGAAUUAAAAGUAUGCCGAAUGUGCUUUCGAAUGAAAUAAUUAUUACAAUUUAAUGUUGUAAUGGAUCGCUAUUUUUUUUUAUUUUUAUUUUUUUUAAAUAAUAUUAUUUUACAUAAAAGUUUAGAUGUCAAUUAAAGUGAUCGUAACACUUAAAAUAGAAAAAUAACUAUAUGGAAAAAUAAUAAUUUCUGCUAGUGUAAAAAAGUUUCUAAGUUAACUCUAAGUUUUAAAUGGUUAUCAGAACACAUAUAAGAACGUAAUUAUUAAAAAAAGAGAAAAGUUCGUUACUUCUUUGAUUCAGAGAAUAACUUUUUUUUUUGUCUGACUGGUGCUAACUGUCUCUUUAUCUGUAUUUUAUUUUUUUUUAUUGGAACGAUUUAUAGUAAUAAUUGUAUAAAGAGGCCAAAGUUACAUAAUAUUAUUCAUACUAAUAUUAUAUAUCGUAAUAAUAUUAUCCCGUAUUGUUAUCGUUCGAUAAAUCAAUUAUUAUACUACCUAUAGAGUUAUCUUACAAUCUUACAACGUGUUGCAUUUUUGCACGACAAAUUAUUCAAGAAUUAACACGUCGAUACUCACGUAAAAUUUCUCCUUGCAAAAAGUAUUUUUAAUCUCAUGUACAUUUCGUACAAUGUCACUCUAUAUAUACAUAUAUGGAUCUACAGUAUAUGUAUAUAUAUAUAUAUAUAUAUAUUAUUUUAUCUUUGUGUACACAUGUCAGAGCGCUAUAACUAUUUAAUCGUAAUAAUAUCAAAAUUAUAAUUAUUUAAUCAUAAUUUAAUCAGAAAUAAUAUCACAAUCAGAUUUUAUUUUUCGAUAAUGAAUUCAAGAGAUUCAAAUUAAAUUUAAAAUUUUAUUUCUCGAUUCUAUAUACUAUUUUACAAAGGCAUGAAUGUUUUUACAAUUAGAAUCAAAAAUAAUCGCAUGUGUACAUAAUAUAUGGAAUACAACAAGUGAUAGCAGCAAAAAAAGAAUUCGAAAAUAUACAAGUAGACAGAUUAUUAUAUGUUCAUGUUAUAUAUGCUUCGAUAUUGAGAAAAACAUAUGUUCGAAGAAUAUAUUCUGCGUCAAUUUCUUUAUAUUCAGACUUUUUGAAACGAAUUUUUUUUAUGAACCUCAUAUACGAAAUUCAUACUCUUUUUUGCUUUCUUCUUUACUAUUUUCCACGAAGUACAAAUCGACAGACUAUAUUAUUAUUAUUAUUAUUAUUACUAUUAUCAUUAUUAUUAUUAUCAUUAUUAUUAUUAUUAUUAUUAUUAUUAUUAUUAUUAUUAUUAUUAUUAUUAUUAUUACUAAGUAGAUUAUGAUCGCAUGAUAAGAAAUAUACACACGUAUGCCAAUAUAAUUCGCAUUACGUACGACUGGUUCGUGCAUAUUAAGAGAAAAAAAAAUACGUAUGUACAAUCUUUAAACAUUUAUGUCCCAAUUAUACAUCCAAAGAGACAAAUAUUCAAGAAACGAGAUUUUGUUUGUAGGGACGUCAUAGCAUAAUGAUAGUUAAUGUGAGAUGAUCAUGAAAUCAUAAAAAGAAGGAUGGUAUUGAGUUUAUAGAAUAAUGAGUGCAAUUAGAAAUUUUUUUGAUAGAACCACUACUUGAUCGCUCAAGUUUCAAGUUGUUAUGAUCCAGUUGGUCAUCUUUUAGUCUGUCUUUUGCUGGAUAUCGACGUCAACUUUCCUCCCUCGUAGAGUCAAAGAGCUUCUUCAUCCUUGAUAGCACCUUUCACAAUACAAUGGAGUCAGAGUGUUUAAUAGACAUUAUUACAUGGAAUCUUAACAAUUGAUCGUUAUUCUUUGAACAUAUAUUCUUCUGCUGUUUAUUUCUCUUUUUAACGUUGUUGUAAUCUUUUUUAUCAUUCUAUGUAUUCGGUCAUGAGAUUUCGUCAUUCAUUUUCAUUUUGAAUAUUUAAUUGUAUUUUAAUUGUAUUUGUCUAAGUUAUUUAUUCUUUUGCCUAUAUUUUUUUAUAUGGCAUAUAGAGAAUUUUUAUAUUUAUUAUUCAUUUUAAAAUUUUAAAUUUUAAUUUCGAAUAUGUACAAAAUGAUUUCUGGAAAAUCGGUGGUUCUACCGAAUUUUUUUUUUUUUUAUAAUAAAUAGAUUAUAAUAUAGAAACAUAAUUAAUAAUUUAUAAUAGGAUAAUCAAAGAUUUUGGAUUUUCUAAGCCUUUGAUAUAAAAAAGAAAAUGGACAAGAAGAAAGUGUCAUUGUGAAAUAGUGUAUGAUUGUGUAGAUCUAACUUGUGCCGAAAGUGUUCAUCGAUCAAUCUAUUUUGUACUUAACUAUUUAAUCGAUUACAAAUUCAUUCUGUUCGAUAUUAAUUUUAUUGACACAUUUUUUUUAUUUUUGUAAGUAGAUAUCUUCGACAAAUAAGUUACCAAGUAAAAUUUAGUAGAAGGAUAAAGCACAUCUUUCUUUUUAUAAUAAAAACAGAAACAAAUUUUUUUGUAAUUUUCAACAGUUUAUUUAUUUAUUAAAUCAGCUUUUUGUCAUAUUUAUUUCAUUAACCGAAUAUUUUGCUAAUUCCAGUGAAACAAACGAAAAGCUAAGCACAAUCUAUUUAUAUAUUAUUGCUCUUCGCUGUACAUAUGAUUUCUUUUUCAUCGUAAUAUAUCUUCAAGAAUUGGUCCUUCUAAUUUAUUGUACUAUAUCUUGUACUUGAUUCAUUCCAGAUAUUGUACAGAAUUCAUUGCUGAUUAAUAAAAUUGACUCACGGAAGAAUAUUUCGAACGACUGAAUAUAAGAGUAUAGAAGAAAGUAAAAAAAAAAAAAAAUCUCUUUAAUAUAUUAUAUAUAAUAUAAUUAUAUUAAUUUUACACAGAUAUAUUAAAUGGGAUUAAUUUAAGCAAAAUAUAACAUUCAACAAUAUUCUAUAAAAUGCAAUUAGAACUUUCCUAAUUUUCUAUAUAUAUAUAUAUUUAUUGAACGAUUAUUAUAUUAUAUAUGUAUAUAAAUAGCAACAGAUAAAAUGUAACAAGUUCGACGAACCGAGAUGAUGUGCUAGUUUAAUUCGCAUUUCAUCCAAGAAGAACUCGACUGUCAUAUUUUAACCAAUUGCAUAGCUAAUGUGUAUAUUGCGUUCAUGUUAAAAAAAAAAAAAUUAAAACUUCUUUCAUGGAAGCAUAUUAACAAUUUUAGAUUAUUAUAUCAAUUCUAUUAAGAGAUAACGUAAAUAUUUAAAUAAAUUAUCUCUUAUAGAUCAUUGAAUAAAUUCUAUCAUGUAUCCAAUCUUUAAAUGCUUCUAUAAAAGAAUUGAAAAUGAUAUUAUUCAAAUAACGUAAAUAAGCUUAAGAAGUAUUCAUUGCUUAAGCUUCCACUUACGGCAAAAAAUUAAUAUAUUAAUAAAUGGAGAAUUUUAUUUUAAAGCGUUGAUGCAUUGAUGCUUCUCCGUUGUAAAAGCAAAUGUACAAAUGUAUACAUGUUUAUAUAUACAUCAGAGUGUUAUUUAAAUAAUUAUCAUAUUAUAAUUAAUUUAUAUUAAGUAUCGCGAUACGUGAUCAUCUCAAUUUGAUUAAACUUGUACAAGACUUAUUACAAAACUCAUUCUAUUUACUGUCUUGAGACUAGUUAAAUAAAUAUAUAUACAUAUAUAUAUAUUUGUACUUUACAACAGAGAUCAUUAAAGAAUGCAUGCAUAUGAAACAUAAUAUAAAAAAAAAGAAAUGUACAAUUUCCUCUUGAGAGCCGUAAGACUGAUAACUUAACGCGGGUACAUAGAGACUGUACAUAUUAAUAAUUCGUUGUAUGACAUAGGUCAGAGUUACGAUAAAACUUAUCUUGUGGAUAUUCAAUAUGCUACUUAUAAAAUUUAUACAUAUAAUAAUGUUUCGAUUCAUUUCUAUGAACAAAUAAAUGAUCGCAUUAGGUUUUAUCGAAAUUCUCCUUUAAUGCGAUUCAGAUUUAAGUUCACUUGUCAAAUUUGCUUAAGCUUUGCGAGGCGAUAAAAAGUUCCCUUCUACAUAGAAAACAUAUGGGCAUGAUAUAGUAUGUAAUGUAUCGAUAUAUCAUCAUUUUCUAAUUUUAUUUUGUAUCGUAUUUGUUUUCUUUUUUUUUUUUUUUUUGUUUAUAUAGUAUGUACUCUUUUCUUCAAUUUUAGUAUCCACAAUUCGAAAUUAAUUUAGAUUUUUAUUAUUCUUAUUAUAUAUUAUUCUUAUUAUUAUUAUUAUUAAUUAUUGAUAUUAUUUGUAUAAAUAAUUGAUAUCAUGAAUUGACUACACGAAAUUAAAUUUUUUAUUAAAUAAGAUACAUAUAAUAUCAAGUCCUGAUUUGCUAAUGUGUUAUAUGUAUAUAUAUAUAUAUAUGUUUAGAAUAUAUUAAAUAAAAUAAGUGGGCAUCAUUUUGUGUACCGUGAAAUUCAUUAUUUUUAUUUAUGUAUAUUUAAGUAAAAAGAGAAAUGUAAUUACAUCAUCGAAAUAAAAUAUAUAAACUAAACAUAUAAGCUUCGAAAAUUGUUAUUGAAUGAUUCAUAUUGAUAAAAAUAUACGUAUAAAAUUUA